GAUGAACGCUGGCGGCGUGCCUAAUACAUGCAAGUCGAGCGAACGGACGAGAAGCUUGCUUCUCUGACGUUAGCGGCGGACGGGUGAGUAACACGUGGAUAACCUACCUAUAAGACUGGGAUAACUUCGGGAAACCGGAGCUAAUACCGGAUAAUAUUUUGAACCGCAUGGUUCAAUAGUGAAAGACGGUCUUGCUGUCACUUAUAGAUGGAUCCGCGCCGCAUUAGCUAGUUGGUAAGGUAACGGCUUACCAAGGCAACGAUGCAUAGCCGACCUGAGAGGGUGAUCGGCCACACUGGAACUGAGACACGGUCCAGACUCCUACGGGAGGCAGCAGUAGGGAAUCUUCCGCAAUGGGCGAAAGCCUGACGGAGCAACGCCGCGUGAGUGAUGAAGGUCUUCGGAUCGUAAAACUCUGUUAUUAGGGAAGAACAUAUGUGUAAGUAACUAUGCACAUCUUGACGGUACCUAAUCAGAAAGCCACGGCUAACUACGUG
rnacentral:rRNA from 1 species